rnacentral:SRP_RNA from 1 species
GUAUGACCCAUUCUGCAAUGGUAAUCUAUAAACCCGGUCAGGUCCGGAAGGAAGCAGCCGUAAUAGAUGAUUCAUGUGCUAGGAUAUGGUCAGCACAG